rnacentral:rRNA from 1 species
UUGACCUCGGAUCAGGUAGGGAUACCCGCUGAACUUAC